rnacentral:rRNA from 1 species
GACGAACGCUGGCGGCGUGCUUAACACAUGCAAGUCGAACGGAAAGGCCCUGCUUUUGUGGGGUGCUCGAGUGGCGAACGGGUGAGUAACACGUGAGUAACCUGCCCUUGACUUUGGGAUAACUUCAGGAAACUGGGGCUAAUACCGGAUAGGAGCUCCUGCUGCAUGGUGGGGGUGGGAAAGUUUCGGCGGUGGGGGAUGGACUCGCGGCUUAUCAGCUUGUUGGUGGGGUAGUGGCUUACCAAGGCUUUGACGGGUAGCCGGCCUGAGGGGGUGACCGCCCACAUUGGGACUGCGAUACGGCCCAGACUCCUACGGGAGGCAGCAGUGGGGAAUAUUGCACAAUGGGCGGAAGCCUGAUGCAGCAACGCCGCGUGCGGGAUGACGGCCUUCGGGUUGUAAACCGCUUUCGCCUGUGACGAAGCGUGAGUGACGGUAAUGGGUAAAGAAGCACCGGCUAACUACGUG